rnacentral:rRNA from 1 species
UGGGAAUAUUGGACAAUGGGCGAAAGCCUGAUCCAGCCAUGCCGCGUGUGUGAAGAAGGUCUUCGGAUUGUAAAGCACUUUAAGUUGGGAGGAAGGGCAUUUACCUAAUACGUAAGUGUUUUGACGUUACCGACAGAAUAAGCACCGGCUAACUCUGUGCCAGCAGCCGCGGUAAUACAGAGGGUGCAAGCGUUAAUCGGAAUUACUGGGCGUAAAGCGCGCGUAGGUGGUUUGUUAAGUUGGAUGUGAAAUCCCCGGGCUCAACCUGGGAACUGCAUUCAAAACUGACAAGCUAGAGUAUGGUAGAGGGUGGUGGAAUUUCCUGUGUAGCGGUGAAAUGCGUAGAUAUAGGAAGGAACACAGUGGCGAAGGCGACCACCUGGACUGAUACUGACACUGAGGUGCGAAAAGCGUGGGGAGCAAAACAGGAUUAGAUACCCUGGUAGUCCACGCCGUAAAACGUAUCAACUAGCCGUUGGGAGCCUUGAGCUCUUAGUGGCGCAGCUAACGCAAUUAAGUUGACCGCCUGGGGAGUACGGCCGCAAGGUUAAAAACUUAAAUGAAUUGACGGGGUCAUAGCUG